GGAAAGAGCUGCUCCAGUUAAACAAUAGGAGGGAAAAAGCUGCAAACUUUGCCAUCUUCCCGAGCACCUAAGCAUCGUACUUGCAAGAGGAGAGGAAGGCAUCCAGCCUCUAAACCUGAGACCUACAAUUUGAAUGUGCUGAGUCACCUAGUCUGCGGGGUCAAACGUUUUGCACCUAGGAAAAGUACAGCAGAAAAUCAAACUGAGCAGCUGGCUGGUAAUUGUGAUUUUUACAAAUUGAAGGUUCAAGACUUCAGUGGGGGAAGUAACAGCAGAUGUGAAUAUUAGCAAGAGAACCAGAAUUAGCAGUGGAGCUGGAAGAUGGGACUGAAUUGUUGUGAUCUCAUGAUAAAACUUGGAUGGAUGAGGCAUUACUUUUUGAG